rnacentral:rRNA from 1 species
GAUGAACGCUGGCGGCGUGCCUAAUACAUGCAAGUCGAGCGAACAGACAAGGAGCUUGCUCCUUUGACGUUAGCGGCGGACGGGUGAGUAACACGUGGGUAACCUACCUAUAAGACUGGGAUAACUUCGGGAAACCGGAGCUAAUACCGGAUAAUAUUUCGAACCGCAUGGUUCGAUAGUGAAAGAUGGUUUUGCUAUCACUUAUAGAUGGACCCGCGCCGUAUUAGCUAGUUGGUAAGGUAACGGCUUACCAAGGCGACGAUACGUAGCCGACCUGAGAGGGUGAUCGGCCACACUGGAACUGAGACACGGUCCAGACUCCUACGGGAGGCAGCAGUAGGGAAUCUUCCGCAAUGGGCGAAAGCCUGACGGAGCAACGCCGCGUGAGUGAUGAAGGUCUUCGGAUCGUAAAACUCUGUUAUUAGGGAAGAACAUACGUGUAAGUAACUAUGCACGUCUUGACGGUACCUAAUCAGAAAGCCACGGCUAACUACGUGCCAGCAGCCGCGGUAAUACGUAGGUGGCAAGCGUUAUCCGGAAUUAUUGGGCGUAAAGCGCGCGUAGGCGGUUUUUUAAGUCUGAUGUGAAAGCCCACGGCUCAACCGUGGAGGGUCAUUGGAAACUGUAAAACUUGAGUGCAGAAGAGGAAAGUGGAAUUCCAUGUGUAGCGGUGAAAUGCGCAGAGAUAUGGAGGAACACCAGUGGCGAAGGCGACUUUCUGGUCUGUAACUGACGCUGAUGUGCGAAAGCGUGGGGAUCAAACAGGAUUAGAUACCCUGGUAGUCCACGCCGUAAACGAUGAGUGCUAAGUGUUAGGGGGUUUCCGCCCCUUAGUGCUGCAGCUAACGCAUUAAGCACUCCGCCUGGGGAGUACGACCGCAAGGUUGAAACUCAAAGGAAUUGACGGGGACCCGCACAAGCGGUGGAGCAUGUGGUUUAAUUCGAAGCAACGCGAAGAACCUUACCAAAUCUUGACAUCCUUUGACCACUCUAGAGAUAGAGCCUUCCCCUUCGGGGGACAAAGUGACAGGUGGUGCAUGGUUGUCGUCAGCUCGUGUCGUGAGAUGUUGGGUUAAGUCCCGCAACGAGCGCAACCCUUAAGCUUAGUUGCCAUCAUUAAGUUGGGCACUCUAAGUUGACUGCCGGUGACAAACCGGAGGAAGGUGGGGAUGACGUCAAAUCAUCAUGCCCCUUAUGAUUUGGGCUACACACGUGCUACAAUGGACAAUACAAAGGGCAGCGAAACCGCGAGGUCAAGCAAAUCCCAUAAAGUUGUUCUCAGUUCGGAUUGUAGUCUGCAACUCGACUACAUGAAGCUGGAAUCGCUAGUAAUCGUAGAUCAGCAUGCUACGGUGAAUACGUUCCCGGGUCU